rnacentral:rRNA from 1 species
UACGAAGUGGUCUAGCGUUGCUCGGAAUCACUGGGCGUAAAGGGUGCGUAGGCGGGUCUUUAAGUCAGGGGUGAAAUCCUGGAGCUCAACUCCAGAACUGCCUUUGAUACUGAGGAUCUUGAGUUCGGGAGAGGUGAGUGGAACUGCGAGUGUAGAGGUGAAAUUCGUAGAUAUUCGCAAGAACACCAGUGGCGAAGGCGGCUCACUGGCCCGAUACUGACGCUGAGGCACGAAAGCGUGGGGAGCAAACAGG